CCGGCACGGGUGAGUAACGCGUAUGCAACUUGCCUAUCAGAGGGGACGAACCCGGCGAAAGUCGGACUAAUACCGCAUGAAGCAGGGGCCCCGCAUGGGGAUAUUUGCUAAAGAUUCAUCGCUGAUAGAUAGGCAUGCGUUCCAUUAGGCAGUUGGCGGGGUAACGGCCCACCAAACCGACGAUGGAUAGGGGUUCUGAGAGGAAGGUCCCCCACAUUGGUACUGAGACACGGACCAA
rnacentral:rRNA from 1 species